rnacentral:rRNA from 1 species
CAGCAGCCACGGUAAUACGUAGGGUGCAAGCGUUAUCCGGAAUUAUUGGGCGUAAAGAGCUCGUAGGCGGUUUGUCGCGUCUGCUGUGAAAACUGGAGGCUCAACCUCCAGCCUGCAGUGGGUACGGGCAGACUAGAGUGCGGUAGGGGAGAUUGGAAUUCCUGGUGUAGCGGUGGAAUGCGCAGAUAUCAGGAGGAACACCGAUGGCGAAGGCAGAUCUCUGGGCCGUAACUGACGCUGAGGAGCGAAAGCGUGGGGAGCGAACAGGAUUAGAUACCCGAGUAGUCCCUGUCUCUUAUAC